rnacentral:lncRNA from 1 species
AGAGAAAUGAAAGGAUUUUUUUAGCAUUUUUCCACUUUAUCCAAGGAAUCCCUUUCUUGGCAUUUGUAUUUGAGAGAGAGAGCUAUGCUUAGGUCAGUUCCUUCAGUCAACUUUUUUGGUAAGCCAAAAGUGAACUUUAGGUAAGUAAGUAGUCCCGUAUGAAAUUCAUAAAACAUUCAUAUCUGGCACUUGAGGAGGUCAAUCUUAAGUGUUGGAAGCUACUGCUAAGGGACUCCCACUCAUCUAGAAAGGAUAGGCAAUUGAGAGAGAAUAGGGCGAUAGCGACAGACACAGGAACUGAAAUAGAUUAAAAGAUUACUUCCGUAGAGGAGAGGGGAAAGCUGAU